GUGCCAGCAGCUGCGGUAAUACGGAGGGUGCAAGCGUUAAUCGGAAUUACUGGGCGUAAAGCGCACGCAGGCGGUCUGUCAAGUCGGAUGUGAAAUCCCCGGGCUCAACCUGGGAACUGCAUUCGAAACUGGCAGGCUAGAGUCUCGUAGAGGGAGGUAGAAUUCCAGGUGUAGCGGUGAAAUGCGUAGAGAUCUGGAGGAAUACCGGUGGCGAAGGCGGCCUCCUGGACGAAGACUGACGCUCAGUGCGAAAGCGUGGGAGCAAACAGGAUUAGAUAACCCUGGUAGUCCACGCCGUAAACGAUGUCGACUUGGAGGCUGUGCCCUUGAGGCGUGGCUUCCGGAGCUAACGCGUUAAGUCGACCGCCGUGGGAGUACGGCCGCAAGGUUAAACUCAAAUGAAGUUGACGGGGCCCG
rnacentral:rRNA from 1 species